rnacentral:rRNA from 1 species
UCGCGAAAAUGGGCGAUUUGCUGCGGCGACGUCGCGAGAAGUUUCUGAACCUUAUCAUUUAAAGGAAGGAGAAGUCGUAAUAAGGUUUCCGUAAGUGAACCUACGGAAGGAUCAUUGUCGAU